rnacentral:rRNA from 1 species
AGCGAACGCUGGCGGCAGGCCUAACACAUGCAAGUCGAACGAACUCUUCGGAGUUAGUGGCGGACGGGUGAGUAACACGUGGGAACGUGCCUUUUGGUUCGGAAUAACUCAGGGAAACUUGUGCUAAUACCGAAUGUGCCCUUCGGGGGAAAGAUUUAUCGCCAUUAGAGCGGCCCGCGUCUGAUUAGCUAGUUGGUGAGGUAACGGCUCACCAAGGCGACGAUCAGUAGCUGGUCUGAGAGGAUGACCAGCCACACUGGGACUGAGACACGGCCCAGACUCCCACGGGAGGCAGCAGUGGGGAAUCUUGCGCAAUGGGCGAAAGCCUGACGCAGCCAUGCCGCGUGAAUGAUGAAGGUCUUAGGAUUGUAAAAUUCUUUCACCGGGGACGAUAAUGACGGUACCCGGAGAAGAAGCCCCGGCUAACUUCGUG